UACGGAGGGUGCAAGCGUUAUCCGGAUUCACUGGGUUUAAAGGGUGCGUAGGUGGGCAGGUAAGUCAGUGGUGAAAUCUCCGGGCUUAACCCGGAAACUGCCGUUGAUACUAUUUGUCUUGAAUAUUGUGGAGGUAAGCGGAAUAUGUCAUGUAGCGGUGAAAUGCUUAGAUAUGACAUAGAACACCAAUUGCGAAGGCAGCUCACUACACAAAUAUUGACACUGAGGCACGAAAGCGUGGGGAUCAAACAGG
rnacentral:rRNA from 1 species